rnacentral:miRNA from 1 species
GAGCUGUUCACGAAGUUUUA